GGGGGGGGCUGUGAGAGACCUUAUGUGGCCUGGGAAGAGUGUCACUGAACUGCUCCCUGCUCUGCAGAUUAAUAUGUUCUAAACUGCCUCCGUAGUCCAUGCACUGGGGCAGGGGGAGGGAGGCGGAGGAGUGGGUUGGAUAAAGAUAGGGUAAAAAAAAAUGGAUCCAAAGGAGGGAGCCAUUGACUUUGGGGGGGGGGAGGAGGAGGAGGAGGCCUGCACUUUAGUUCCCACUCUCACUCAUGCUGGAUUGGCGCCCUUCCUAGAAGAGCAUGCAAUUUUUUAAGUCGAAGGGGUGGCCAUUUUGGAGGACUCACUGUGCUGCCUCGAAGACCUAUCCGCCUGAUUUCUUCUGACCUUGGUGGAGGAUUUGCUGUGAUAGCCUCGAAAAUCGCCUCUCACCUUCCGAAGGUUCCAGGGAGGCUGCAGAUGAGGCACUGGCAGAACGGUGGGCCGCUGAAGACCGCGUCUCACAGCCCGAGGGCGGGAGACGCACGGUGGACUCGGCAGCAUAUGGCAAGGGAGGCUGAAAAGCGGCCGUCGCUGGAAGGGAAGACACUUCGGGUAGCUGAUCAGCGGCCGAUAGCGCUGCUGGUGGCGCCGCAGGAGGGAAAAUGGGCAGACCUUCAAUGGCCAUUGUUGCUGCUAUCAGGUUGUGGGAGGUGGGCCCCGAAAAAAGGCCGAGAUUGACCUGGCCCUGCAUUGCUUUGCCACAGUCCUCUCGUCUUGUCAUUUCAAUGAAUGUCUGGAAUAAACUGAUGAGGUAAUAAAAAAUUCUUAACUUUACAACAAUAUUGUAAAGAAUUAUUAAUUCUUUAAUCUGAAUCCUUGUGAUUGUGAGAAUCACCCUCAUCUUCCAAGUAUUAUUAGGGCUUCAAUUGGUUUAAGUAGAUUAAUUAUGAGAGCUAAUUUUAACUAGUGAUGGCAAAUUUUUAUCAGUGGGUUGGUGAGUAAAAGGGACUCUUUAUGCGAGUACCUAAGUUGGCAUUAUGGAGAAUUGUAACUUUAUUUAAAAUCAGUUUAGUGAUGCAUUAGUUAAAAUGCUAAUUGAUGUGUUUAGAAAACCAAAGAAACUCCAUUUUUGCCCAGAAGACCUCAUUCUAACUUAAAGUAACCUGGCCCAAACUCAGGGACAUCACUGCCUCUCAUGAUUAACAUCAUUAUCUCUCUCCAGCUAAAUUGUAUCUAUGAAACUUGCUAACACAGCUAAGCUUCUCACUGCUAGAAAACAGGAUCUAACCAAAUAAGGAAUAAUCACCAGAUGAACAAUGAAUCAUUCGCAUGCGUACUAGAUACUUAGACCACCAUUUUAUUGCCACGUAUACUGUGUCUAGGGUGUCAGCACCAUUUAGAUUAUUUAUAUAUAUGUUAGGUGAGCCUGUAACCAAACUGUAAUUGGUUUGAGAGCAUGAGCCUACUCAUUACCUAUUGCUGACUGCAGACCAAUAAAGCCUCAAUCCUUGUGUCAGACUGAUUGGUUAAGCGGACCCAGGAAUGAGCCCCAUCCACAUCAAUUUGGUGCUGUGGCUCGGAUGUAGACUCCUGGGUGGUUGUCCGACCCAUCCUGGAACCCGAUACCCCAGCCAGUACUCUGCCUCUUGAGCGGAAAGGGAUCUCGGGAAACCAGGAUGCGCUGUUCACCACAACACGCUGCAUCUGAGAACAGUGGGAUGCAGGGGGGAGGGAGAGUGAAUUCCAGAAAGGCGUCUCUUGUUGGAAAAGAGGAAAGAAAAUGGAGUUUGAAGGAAUGCGUGUGAUGUAGUUCUGUGCAGGGAAUUGUAGAGAAAAGACUGGAAGGAGAUGUGAACAGAAGGGAAGGAAUGUCUUAAGGGUUUUAGUUGGAAGUUGUUAAAAAGUUGAAAAGCACCUGUAAGCUGUGAUGUGGAAAGGUAAUAUGGAAUCACAGAUUGUUUUGUGGAUGACUGUAAUAACAGUUUGUUUUGUUUGAGCUCCUUUCUUAACUGAGUUUUAUGGGUAAAUGAUUGUUUGCCCUAAACAUAUUUAAAAUGUUAUAAAAUCCUAUGUGACCCAUGUGAAAUUCCCUGUUUAGUCCCUUGCUCUGUGAAAUACACAAGACAAGCCUGUGUGUGUGUGUGUGUGCAUGUUUCUGAGCGGGAGCCCAAUGCUCUGGUUCUGUGCAGGAAUCCUCAUUUUGUUAAACUGCAAUGAUCUGGGGAAAAGCCAAAACCCCCAUCAAUCUUAUAACUCAUCCCUGAGAAGAUGAGGUUUCUGUUGUAUUUGUGAAUGUAUUCUAGUGACAUGUCUUUUCCUGUAAACUGUUCCAGAACAAACUUGCUCUGACAUUGGAUUCCAAAAUUUGCAGUUAUUAUAUUAAUUGAACAUAAAAUUGGUCGUGGCCUGAGCAACAGGGGGAACUUUCAGCAGUCCCAGCUGGCCACCUGGGGUGCUGACGUUUUCCUUCUUUGUGAGUCUCCCCCCACCCCACAAAAGGGAGGUGCUGCUUAUGGCUGGCUAAAUGCAUUAGGCAUAAGUUGAUUGUGUUAUUUCUGCCACUACUGAAUGUCAUAGGACUUUAUAUGUUAUGCUUACUGAUUUCCUUGACAUGGUCUCUCUUACCUAUUUUCUGUUAGCUCAAAACUUUGCUCUUUUCUCUAACCGGACAUUUUCCCUUUUACUUUUUUCUCACAACUGUUAACUGACCUCUGGUGAACAAUGAUAACUCCGCCCAUUUCCGGAUGGGAGGAGGAAGGAGGUUCUCUGUAAAGCAGUUUGUGUUCCAGCCAGUUAAUUGUGGGUGAGAAUUAAAAAUAGGAUUUGAAGAUAAAUUAGUCUAUUUGUUUUUUGUUUUUGCAAAAUCUAUGCAAUAUUUCUGCUAACUUUUUGAUGUAAACUGAGAGCUAAUAAUCAAAUGGUCUAAGGCUUAAAUUUUAAAUUUGUCUCAUCUGCUAGCCCUGCUUUGCCUUCACAGUAGCUGAAUCCCAGUAGCUGAAUGAUGAGAUCCCAGAUUUGAGAUUUGAUGAAAAGAAUUUUGUUUUGCCACUCCUGCAAGUGGAAGGGAGUUCCAAAGUACCGGUUUGCAUUUCACCUGGAAGACUUCCCAGUUUAAAAGGAUCAAGCUUUGUAUGUUACUGUGAAACCCAUACCCUGUUUUCACAGCUCCUGAUGAGAGACUUGACUUGAUUAUCACAGGUUUCACCCCUCUGCAAGAUUAUGGACCAUUUUUCUGAUAACACCUUUUGCUAAAGAGGCCUGUAAAAAGGGACACUUUGAUUUGCUUCAUGAGACAUUAGGCCUUGCCCAGAAGUCUCAAUCCUAUUUCAACAAGGUAUAGUAUUUUUGCCUGGGGGCAGGGACUUUUUCUUUCUUAUAUAGGCUUCUCAUGAGGAUAUUGUUACCCUACAAGGAUGUCAAACCCUUACUCAUUGGUCACUUGCUAGUUAUGAGGCUAAAGAUGGAGAGCUGGAACACCACAACUAUCUACACAUGACCUAGAUGAAGAUCCCAAAGCCAGAUGUUACUGACGAAUCACCCCUUUAUGGAGAAUAAAGUCAGGUAUACUGGAUGGAGAUUGAAUGCCCUGACAAAGGCCUGUAAAUAUGAUUGUCAGCCAGUGUGGUGCAGUGGUUAGAGUGCUGGACUAGGACCGGGGAAACCCGAGUCCAAACCCUCAUUCAGCCAUGACACUUGCUGGGUGACACAGGGCCAGCCACUCAAAUGGUCUGUCCUGCCUCACAGGGUUGUUGUAAGGAGGAAGAACAGGAUACAGAAGAGACUGUGAGAUGCCACAUGGAAACAGAACUUUGUCAGCAGUUACACCCAAAGGGCCUUGGUGAAAUUCAAGCGCUGGAGUUCUAUGUUGCAGCCUCUCGAGUGAUAAGACUAUGUUUGACCUGUCAGGCAGCCCUGUCAGGCUUUAAUGCUUCCUCAAAACCCCCAAAUCAUGAGGGGGGUGAAAAUGUGGAUGCCCUUUUUCCUUUUGACUUUGUUGCUUUGCCUUUUGCCCAGGAUUGCCGUUUUGUCCUCGUGAUCAGAGACCAGCCUACAACACAAGCCACCAAGCCCUAAAUGCAGACAUUAUCCCCUGUUCUGGACUUCGGCGGGGAGAGGGGCCCAGGGCAAGAAGCGAAACAAAAACAUAAAUUGGAAAAAAUGCCAAAAGACCACAUUGAAAAUAGCCUCAGGUCUUAUCCAUCCAUUGUAUUAUUUGCCUUGAAAACUUGACUUUUCCUUUUGUGCUGAUGGUUGGCACCCAGGGACUUAGUCUCAGGACGCUGUCCCUACAUGGGGGGAGGGAAUUGGUAACUCACUUGCCUGUCUUUCUCUCAAGUAAACAGGUUUGCAACCAACAGUGCCUUGAAUUGUCUUUCCGAGAAGGAUUGGUCCUCCCCAGAUUGAAGGAGUACCUGGAUCCAACCCUGACCCAGGAGCACUAACCAUCAGCAGCAGCAGCUACCCGAGGGGAGUCCCUAUCUGCGUUUCCAGUCCAACCCAAUGGUGACAGAAUGUCCAUCUGCUGCCCUGUCCUGUGUUCAAGGAAGAGGGCCUAAUGCAAAGUCCAUCUUCCUGCUCCUGAGUGCUGUAGCAGAGGAAUAGACAACGAAUGCCUGAAGAGUGCCUGACAGCAAACAGGCAAGCCAAUUUGUUUACUUUUCUCUGGAGUCAUAUGUGCAACAGCAUCUCCCCAAGCCUUUAGUCACUCCUGUAAAGCCCUGGAACCAUCCUACCCGGGUAAGAUACCCUGCCAAAGACACUAUUUCAAAUUCUGCCAAAGACAUUAUAUCAAAUUGUCCACCGGGGGGGCGGGGGGCAGUCAAGGCUCCCAGACACAUGAACGUUCAAGCUUGUCUAUGGACACUAGUCAAACAGGCCAAAACAACACUGAUCAGAGAACAUUUAGGAUAGCCAGAAUCCUGCAAUGUUGGACAAGAGCAUUUGGAAGGCAGAACCAAUUGAAGGACUAAAAUGGCUUUUUAAAAAACCAAAAACCAAGGACUCUUAGUUUUUGGAAUUCUAGGGCUCUCCAUGGCCUCCUUUUGGCCAUGGCAGACUCUAGAGGACACUAAGGGGGGGUGGGAGUUGAUGACUUACAUCACUUUCUUGUAGUGACUAUGAGCUAUAAUUAUGUUGGAAACCCUGCUAUCCCCUGUGCUGUAAGGACAUGAACCUCACAUGCUUGCUUUCUGGUCAUUUCCUUAUUUGCUUCCCUGACACCUUGUGCCAAUCAUCUCAUAGUUUCACCCAGAGCAUCUACCUGCAAGUCUGCACCUUUCCCUAACUUACUGGUUCCUUUUUGCACUCUAAAGACAUUAAGCUAGCCCAAGCUUUACCUGCCAGUUUUCUAAGACACCUGUAUCCUUUAACUAAUGUGACUGUACAUGACUUCUCAUUACCAUUGCUUUCCAUGAGCUGAUAAUCCAUUAAUCACCAGAAGCACCUGGUUCCACAAUGCAAGGCUGUUAUUGAUACUUUAUUUGGGAUGGAGUUGGGUUAAGACAAUGUUGCUUGCUAUAAGUUGUAUGAUCUUUAUAUGUACACCUUGCUGCUAUGUAUAAAACCUUUUAUCUAUAUCAAAUCAGGCCGGAUAUGGGUGAUUAAGGAUAUGUGUCUUAAUUUAUGGAAUUAUACUAAUUAUGCUUGUAGCUCUAGGAUCUUGUAUGCAAUGUUUCUAGUUUUAUUACCAUGUGUACAGCCCAUUUAGCACCUACCAUUUCUGUAAAAUCUAUGCUUAGGCAUCCCAAAAUCACAUGUCACAAAUCCUUUAGCCACAUGAAACACAGAACUAUAUUUCCAAGGCAAAGAAGAUAAUUCUAGUUAUAGCAUGUAUUUUCUUUUUAUUGAUAGUCACAUGUUGCUGCUUACAAUGCAUUCCAGCUUUAAUCCAAAUGUUUAUGAGAACCUUUAAACCUCGCCAUAAUGUAAGACCUAAUUAUACAGCUGUACCUUUACAAGCCUUAAGACAUCCUGAAGAUUCAGGAUAGUCCAAUUUCAGGGGGGAAUUGAUUUGUUUAAAAAACCAAAGAAACUCCAUUUUGCCCAGAAGACCUUAUUCUAACUUAAAGUAACCUGGCCCCCAAAAUCAGGGACAUCACUGCCUCUCAUGAUUAACAUCAUUAUCUCUCUCCAGCAAAAUUGUACACAGCUAAGCUUCACAUUGCUAGAAAACAGGAUCUAACCGAAUAAGGAAUAAUCACCAGAUGAACAAUGAAUCAUUCACAUGCGUACUACUUAGACCACCAUUUUAUUGCCACAUAUACUGUGUCUAGCGUGUUAGCACCAUCUUGAUUGUUUGUAUAAAUGUAAGGUGCACCUGUAACCAAACCUUAAUUGGUUUGAGAGCAUGAGCCUACUGAUUACCUAUUGCUGACUGCAGAGCAAUAAAGCCUCAAUUAAUAAUUCCCAA